GACGAACGCUGGCGGCGUGCUUAACACAUGCAAGUCGAACGAAGUGGCGAACGGGUGAGUAAUACGUGGGUAACCUGCCCUCCUUUUUGGGCUAAGCCUUGGAAACGGGGUCUAAUACCGAAUAAAGGGGGCUGGGCUCGCGGCCUAUCAGUGUGUUGGUGGGGUACUGGCCUACCACGGCGGUGACGGGUAGCCGGUCUGAGAGGGUAACCGGGGACAUUGGGACGGACCAACGGCCCAGAGGAGUCCGCGGGGCAGAAGUGGGGGAAAUUGGACAAAGGGCGAAGGCGUGAUGCAGCGUCGAUGCGGGGGGGAUGAGGGUUUUAGGGUUGUAAAAGUGUGUCGGUAUGGAAUCGUUAGGUGGAGAAGAAGCGCCGGCUAACUACGUGCCAGCAGCCGCGGUAAUUC
rnacentral:rRNA from 1 species